AGGCAAACUUCAUCUGGAGAAGAUGUUGGACAGCGACGUGCGACACAGGCUUGGUGUCGGGGGGCUACUCACAAAUUGUCAUCUACGGGGAGAGUGAGGACGAACUCAGUUCACUCGGACAGCAACAUGAACAUCGUCUGGCAUUCCAUAAAGCAGCUAGGAUUUCGGGGGAAUAUGCAAACUUCUGAAAGGCGGUUUCGCCCAGUUUAUGCAGAGCUUUCCCCGCCAGUGUACCAUCGUGGGCAGCAACCCGAUCCUCACCCCCCAGGCCGAGCCCUCAGCCCAGGAGAAAUCACAGAGGCACGCGCUCUUCAGAACCAAUUCUACACUGAUGGAGCCGGUGGAGAUCUUCCCCCACCUGUACCUAGGUAAUGCCCUGACGGCCGCCUGCAUGCAGGAUCUACAGCGACUCGGCAUCACCGCCAUCCUGAACGUGUCCUCCACGUGCAAGAACCAUUUCACCUCUAAUUUCCUGUACAAGAACAUUCCUGUGGAUGACAGUCAUAACACACUGCUCUCCAACUGGUUCUCAGACGCCAUCACGUUCAUAGAUGAAGUGAAAGGUGCGGGCGGCAAGACUUUGGUCCAUUGUCACGCUGGAGUCAGCCGAUCAGCCACUAUCUGCAUCGCUUACGUCAUGUACAGCCGUCACGCCUCACUGGAUACAGCGUUUGAGUUUGUCAAGUCCCGUCGCAGCGAGAUUUCGCCCAAUGCAGGCUUCAUGCACCAGUUGCUGGAGUUUGAAAAAGAGCAGGAAGACAAGAGGCGCCACCUGUCCCCCCUCAGUCCCCUCAGUCCGCCAUGUUCCCCGCCCUGUCGGUUUUUCUCCGUCUCCUCCAGUUUCUGUAGUUCUAUGGACACCGGAGUCUCCUCCCCCUACUCCACGCCAUUCUCGUCCCCCACAGCCCUAACCAGUCCAAUGGUGGCGUUCACUUGACGGACCUCGUGACGCACAGGAAAUGACGACACAAUCCCAGUGGAAAUGAGGCAGACACAGAAGUGGCGCCAUUGUGUUGUACUGAGGCGCUCUUUUGCCGUUGGUGACAAAACUUUCCUUUGAGUACAAGUUUUUCUACAAAGCUCAUAGUUGAAGUUUGUCGAGUUUGCAAUCAUUUUGGCAAAAUUCAUGCGAUAAGGAAGAGUGCAAAGAUAUGCAAAGUUAUCGAGGAAUAACUUUUAAUAUUCUUCUAAAUUAAAGACAAUCGGAAUUUUGAUGAAUAUGCAUUUGGUGUGUUCAUUUUGUUAUGUACAGUAGCCAUACAUUGUGUGUACGAUGUGUGACAUGUUUUCUUUGUUAUGUGUACAAUACGUGUUCAGUUAUCCAAGAUGACACUAUAUCUUUUCAGAUUAUAGUUCAUCCUUAUAAAUGUCUUUUAUAUGCAUACAUUAUACGAACAUUUACCAAAACAUGUCUCUCGAAAAUCUACUGUGAUACUACAAUUUCAAUAAAAUUCGUUUCAC
rnacentral:misc_RNA from 1 species